rnacentral:rRNA from 1 species
GGGUGACGAGCGGCGGACGGGUGAGUAAUGUCUGGGAAACUGCCUGAUGGAGGGGGAUAACUACUGGAAACGGUAGCUAAUACCGCAUAACGUCGCAAGACCAAAGAGGGGGACCUUCGGGCCUCUUGCCAUCAGAUGUGCCCAGAUGGGAUUAGCUAGUAGGUGGGGUAACGGCUCACCUAGGCGACGAUCCCUAGCUGGUCUGAGAGGAUGACCAGCCACACUGGAACUGAGACACGGUCCAGACUCCUACGGGAGGCAGCAGUGGGGAAUAUUGCACAAUGGGCGCAAGCCUGAUGCAGCCAUGCCGCGUGUAUGAAGAAGGCCUUCGGGUUGUAAAGUACUUUCAGCGGGGAGGAAGGUGUUGAGGUUAAUAACCUCAGCAAUUGACGUUACCCGCAGAAGAAGCACCGGCUAACUCCGUGCCAGCAGCCGCGGUAAUACGGAGGGUGCAAGCGUUAAUCGGAAUUACUGGGCGUAAAGCGCACGCAGGCGGUCUGUCAAGUCGGAUGUGAAAUCCCCGGGCUCAACCUGGGAACUGCAUUCGAAACUGGCAGGCUAGAGUCUUGUAGAGGGGGGUAGAAUUCCAGGUGUAGCGGUGAAAUGCGUAGAGAUCUGGAGGAAUACCGGUGGCGAAGGCGGCCCCCUGGACAAAGACUGACGCUCAGGUGCGAAAGCGUGGGGAGCAAACAGGAUUAGAUACCCUGGUAGUCCACGCCGUAAACGAUGUCGACUUGGAGGUUGUGCCCUUGAGGCGUGGCUUCCGGAGCUAACGCGUUAAGUCGACCGCCUGGGGAGUACGGCCGCAAGGUUAAAACUCAAAUGAAUUGACGGGGGCCCGCACAAGCGGUGGAGCAUGUGGUUUAAUUCGAUGCAACGCGAAGAACCUUACCUACUCUUGACAUCCAGAGAACUUUCCAGAGAUGGAUUGGUGCCUUCGGGAACUCUGAGACAGGUGCUGCAUGGCUGUCGUCAGCUCGUGUUGUGAAAUGUUGGGUUAAGUCCCGCAACGAGCGCAACCCUUAUCCUUUGUUGCCAGCGGUGGGGUGAAGUCGUAACAAGGUAACCGUAGGGGAACCUGCGGUUGGAUCACCUCCUUACCUUAAAGAA